rnacentral:rRNA from 1 species
UACGUAGGGUGCAAGCGUUGUCCGGAAUUAUUGGGCGUAAAGAGCUCGUAGGCGGUCUGUCGCGUCUGCUGUGAAAACUCGGGGCUUAACCCCGGGCCUGCAGUGGGUACGGGCAGACUAGAGUGCGGUAGGGGAGACUGGAAUUCCUGGUGUAGCGGUGAAAUGCGCAGAUAUCAGGAGGAACACCGGUGGCGAAGGCGGGUCUCUGGGCCGUAACUGACGCUGGAGGAGCGAAAGCCGUGGGGAGCGAACAGG